AACGCUGGCGGCGUGACUUACACAUGCAAGUCGAACGGAGUUUUAACGGAAGUUUCGGAUGGAAGUUAGAACUUAGUGGCGGACGGGUGAGUAACGCGUGGGUAACCUGCCUCAGUACAGGGGGGAUAACAGUUAGAAAUGACUGCUAACACCGCAUAAUAUAGCGAAACCGCAUGAUUUUGCUAUCAAAUAUUUAUAGGUAUGAGAUGGGCCCGCGUCUGAUUAGCUAGUUGGUGGGGUAAAAGCCUACCAAGGCGACGAUCAGUAGCCGGCUUGAGAGAGUGACCGGCCACAUUGGGACUGAGACACGGCCCAAACUCCUACGGGAGGCAGCAGUGGGGAAUAUUGGACAAUGGGGGAAACCCUGAUCCAGCGAACCGCCGCGUGAGUGAAGAAGUAUUUCGGUAUGUAAAGCUCUAUCAGCAGGGAAGAUAAUGACAGUACCUGACUAAGAAGCCCCGGCUAACUACGUGCCAGCAGCCGC
rnacentral:rRNA from 1 species